GCAAGUCGAGCGAAUCUUUUGGGAGCUUGCUCCCGAAAGAUUAGCGGCGGACGGGUGAGUAACACGUGGGCAACCUGCCUAUAAGACUGGGAUAACUUCGGGAAACCGGAGCUAAUACCGGAUACGUUCUUUUCUCGCAUGAGAGAAGAUGGAAAGACGGUUUCGGCUGUCACUUAUAGAUGGGCCCGCGGCGCAAUAGCUAGUUGGUGGGGUAAUGGCUCACCAAGGCGACGAUGCGUAGCCGACCUGAGAGGGUGAUCGGCCACACUGGGACUGAGACACGGCCCAGACUCCUACGGGAGGCAGCAGUAGGGAAUCUUCCGCAAUGGACGAAAGUCUGACGGAGCAACGCCGCGUGAACCAAGAAGGCCUUCGGGUCGUAAAGUUCUGUUGUUAGGGAAGAACAAGUACCAGAGUAACUGCUGGUACCUUGACGGUACCUAACCAGAAAGCCACGGCUAACUACGUGCCAGCAGCCGCGGUAAUACGUAGGUGGCAAGCGUUGUCCGGAAUUAUUGGGCGUAAAGCGCGCGCAAGGUGGUUCUUUUAAGUCUGAUGUGAAAGCCCACGGCUCAACCGUGGAGGGUCAUUGGAAACUGGGGAACUUGAGUGCAGAAGAAGAAAGUGGAAUUCCAAGUGUAGCGGUGAAAUGCGUAGAGAUUUGGAGGAACACCAGUGGCGAAAGCGACUUUCUGGUCUGUAACUGACACUG
rnacentral:rRNA from 1 species